AGUGAGAUUUUAGUAAUAUGCCAGUAUCUUUUGACUUACUUUUCAGGUUACAUCUGCAACCAUACUGCGAUACGGUGUAGCACUGGCAUCAUGGGUAAGAUUCAUCCCCUUAUGUGAAUAAGUCUAAUGACGGUACUGCUGUUGAUGAUCAAAUAUAUCAGGAAGCUAAGUGAAAGCCUCCUCAGGAUAUAAUACUGAUGGAAAAUGACUGGCCUGAGGAAACACUAGAUUUCAUUAAUCGUCAUCUAACUGCUAUGCUAAAUAGUUCCAGCAUAGAGGAGGCUUUAUAUGAUGAUGGGUAGAUAGUUGUCAAUUUCACCCAA
rnacentral:lncRNA from 1 species